ensembl:lncRNA
CGGCAUAGAGCGGUGGAGCUAUUAGCUCCGCGCUGCAGACAUCAUUAGGAGUGGAGGGAGACAAUUCCACCGUCAGCGCAGGAACAGGAAGCCCUGGCAACAAGGAGAACACCGCUCUUACCAGACCAUUACACCGUACAAGCCCCAUGUCCUGGGUAGAGAGCCCAGCCCCAGAGGUAGCUAUGUCCUGGGGAGAGAGCCCAGCCCCGGAGGUAGCUAUGUCCUGGGGAGAGAGCCCAGCCCCGGAGGUAGCCAUGUCCUGGAGAGAGAGCCCAGCCCCGGAGGUAGCCAUGUCCUGGGGAGAGAGCCCAGCCCCGGAGGUAGCCAUGUCCUGGAGAGAGAGCCCAGCCCCGGAGGUAGCCAUGUCCUGGUGAGAGAUCCCAACCCCGGAGGUAGCCAUGUCCUGGAGAGAGAGCCCAACCCUGGAGGUAGCUAUGUCCUGGGGAGAGAGCCCAGCCCCGGAGGUAGCUAUGUCCUGGGGAGAGAGCCCAGCCCCGGAGCUAGCUAUGUCCUGGGGAGAGAGCCCAGCCCUGGAGGUAGCUAUGUCCUGGGGAGAGAGCCCAGCCCCGGAGGUAACCAUGUCCUUGGGAGGUAGCUAUGUCCUGGGGAGAGAGCCCAACCCCGGAGGUAACCAUGUCCUUAGGAGGUAGCUAUGUCCUGGGGAGGUAGCUAUGUCCUGGGGAGGUAGCUAUGUCCUGGGGAGGUAGCUAUGUCCUGGGGAGGUAGCUAUGUCCUGGGGAGAGAGCCCAACCCCUGAGGUAACCAUGUCCUUGGGAGGUAGCUAUGUCCUGGGGAGGUAGCUAUGUCGUUGGGAGGUAGCUAUGUCCUGGGGAGGUAGCUAUGUCCUGGGGAGGUAGCUAUGUCCUGGGGAGGUAGCUAUGUCCUGGGGAGAGAGCCCAGCCCCGGAGGUAGCUAUGUCCUGGGGAGAGAGCCCAGCCCCAGAGCUAGCUAUGUCCUGGGGAGGUAGCUAUGUCCUGGGGAGGUAGCUAUGUCCUGGGGAGGUAGCUAUGUCCUGGGGAGGUAGCUAUGUCCUGGGGAGGGAGCCCAACCCCGGAGGUAACAUGUCCUUGGGAGGUAGCUAUGUCCUGGGGAGGUAGCUAUGUCCUGGGGAGGUAGCUAUGUCCUGGGGAGGGAGCUAUGUCCUGGGGAGGUAGCUAUGUCCUGGGGAGGUAGCUAUGUCCUGGGGAGGUAGCUAUGUUCUGGGGAGGUAGCUAUGUCCUGGGGAGGUAGCUAUGUCCUGGGGAGGGAGCCCAGCCCCGGAGGUAGCUAUGUCCUGGGGAGGUAGCUAUGUCCUGGGGAGGUAGCUAUGUCCUGGGGAGGUAGCUAUGUCCUGGGGAGAGAGCCCAACCCCGGAGGUAACCAUGUCCUUGGGAGGUAGCUAUGUCCUGGGGAGGGAGCUAUAUCCUGGGGAGGUACUGUAGCUAUGUCCUGGGGAGGUAGCUAUGUCCUGGGGAGGUAGCUAUGUCCUGGGGAGGUAGCUAUGUCCUGGGGAGCCCAGCCCCAGGAGAGAAGAGGGGGGGCAACAGAGAGAGAGAGAAACAGAGAGAGAAAAAGGGAGAGUAAGAUGGAAAGAAACCACCUAAAAGGAAGCGAUUCCCAACUCUUCCAUAUCAAAGCCAUCACCUAAAGAGAGAUGAACCUGGAGAAGAGCCCCCUAAGCAAGCUGGUCCUGGGGCUCUGUUCACAAACACAAACAGACACCACAGAGCCCCAGGACAGCAGCACAAUUAGACCUAACCAAAUCAUGAGACAACAAAAAGAUAAUUACUUGACACAUUGGAAAGAAUUAACAAAAAACAGAGCAAACUAGAAUGUUAUUUGGUCCUAAACAGAGAAUACACAGUGGCAGAAUACCUGACCACUGUGUCUGACCCUAAACAGAGAGUACACAGUGGCAGAAUACCUGACCACUGUGACUGACUCAAAAUUAAGGACAGCUUUGACUAUGUACAGACUCAGUGAGCAUAGCCUUGCUAUUGAGAAAGGCCGCCGUAGGCAGACCUGGCUCUCAGGAGAAGACAGGCUAUGCGCUCACUGCCCACGAAAUGAGUUGGAAACUGAGCUGCACUUCCUAACCUCCUGCCAAAUGUAUGACCAUAUUAGAGACACAUAUUGCUCAGAUUACACAGACACACAAAGAAUUCGAAAACAAAUCCAAUUUUGAUAAACUCCGAUAUCUAUUGGAUGAAAUACCACAGUGUCUCAUCACAGCAGCAAUACUUGUGAACUGUUGUUACAAGAAAAGGGCAACCAGUGAAGAACAACCAUUGUAAAUACAACCCAUGUUUGUGCUUAUUUAUUUUCCCUUUUGUACUUUAACUAUUGGCACAUCAUUACAGCACUGUAUAUAUACAAGAUAUGAUAUUUUUUUUGUGAGUGUAAUGUUUACUGUUCAUUUUUUAUUGUUUAUUUCACUUGUGUUAAUGAUCUAUUUCACUUGCUUUGGCAAUGUUAACAUGUGUUUCUC